AUUGAACGCUGGCGGCAUGCCUUACACAUGCAAGUCGAGCGGUAACGGGUCCUUCGGGAUGCCGACGAGUGGCGAACGGGUGAGUAAUAUAUCGGAACGUGCCCAGUAGUGGGGGAUAACUGCUCGAAAGAGCAGCUAAUACCGCAUACGACCUGAGGGUGAAAGGGGGGGAUCGCAAGACCUCUCGCUAUUGGGGCGGCCGAUAUCAGAUUAGCUAGUUGGUGGGGUAAAGGCCUACCAAGGCAACGAUCUGUAGUUGGUCUGAGAGGACGACCAGCCACACUGGGACUGAGACACGGCCCAGACUCCUACGGGAGGCAGCAGUGGGGAAUUUUGGACAAUGGGCGCAAGCCUGAUCCAGCAAUGCCGCGUGCAGGAAGAAGGCCUUCGGGUUGUAAACUGCUUUUGUCAGGGAAGAAAUCUUCUGGGCUAAUACCCCGGGAGGAUGACGGUACCUGAAGAAUAAGCACCGGCUAACUACGUGCCAGCCGCCGCUGUAA
rnacentral:rRNA from 1 species